AACGAACGCUGGCGGCAGGCUUAACACAUGCAAGACGAGCGCCCCGCAAGGGGAGCGGCAGACGGGUGAGUAACGCGUGGGAACGUACCUUUUGGUUCGGAACAACUCCGGGAAACUGGAGCUAAUACCGGAUAAGCCCUAACGGGGAAAGAUUUAUCGCCGAAAGAUCGGCCCGCGUCUGAUUAGCUAGUUGGUGAGGUAACGGCUCACCAAGGCGACGAUCAGUAGCUGGUCUGAGAGGAUGAUCAGCCACACUGGGACUGAGACACGGCCCAGACUCCUACGGGAGGCAGCAGUGGGGAAUAUUGGACAAUGGGCGCAAGCCUGAUCCAGCCAUGCCGCGUGAGUGAUGAAGGCCUUAGGGUUGUAAAGCUCUUUUGUCCGGGAAGAUAAUGACUGUACCGGAAGAAUAAGCCCCGGCUAACUUCGUG
rnacentral:rRNA from 1 species